GGCCUCGAUGGGCCGUUGUCGGGGCCCGGAGAUUGAAGUGGUGUUGGAUCCUGCUGCUGGCCGCGCUGGGGUAGAAGGGUCGCCGGUGUGUGGGCAGAGCGGCCCCCGCGUCUCACCUUUAAUUUUCUUUCCUUAGGCGGUAACCAGCGUGAGCUCGCCCGCCAGAAGAAUAUGAAAAAGCAGAGCGACUCGGUUAAGGGAAAGCGCCGAGAUGACGGGCUUUCUGCUGCCGCCCGCAAGCAGAGGGACUCGGAGAUCAUGCAGCAGAAGCAGAAAAAGGCAAACGAGAAGAAGGAGGAACCCAAGUAGCUUUGUGGCUUCGUGUCCAACCCUCUUGCCCUUCGCCUGUGUGCCUGGAGCCAGUCCCACCACGCUCGCGUUUCCUCCUGUAGUGCUCACAGGUCCCAGCACCGAUGGCAUUCCCUUUGCCCUGAGUCUGCAGCGGGUCCCUUUUGUGCUUCCUUCCCCUCAGGUAGCCUCUCUCCCCCUGGGCCACUCCCGGGGGUGAGGGGGUUACCCCUUCCCAGUGUUUUUUAUUCCUGUGGGGCUCACCCCAAAGUAUUAAAAGUAGCUUUGUAAUUC
rnacentral:lncRNA from 1 species